rnacentral:rRNA from 1 species
CUCGUAGGUGGCCAACUAAGUCGGACGUGAAAUCCCUCGGCUUAACCGGGGAACUGCGUCUGAUACUGGAUGGCUUGAGUUCGGGGAGAGGGAUGCGGAAUUCCAGGUGUAGCGGUGAAAUGCGUAGAUAUCUGGAGGAACACCGGUGGCGAUGGCGGCAUCCUGGACCGACACUGACGCUGAGGAGCGAAAGCCAGGGGAGCAAACG